UAGGGAAUCUUCCGCAAUGGACGCAAGUCUGACGGAGCAACGCCGCGUGAGUGAAGAAGGAUUUCGGUUCGUAAAACUCUGUUGUUAGAGAAGAACAGCGCAUAGAGUAACUGUUAUGCGUGUGACGGUAUCUAACCAGAAAGCCACGGCUAACUACGUGCCAGCAGCCGCGGUAAUACGUAGGUGGCAAGCGUUAUCCGGAAUUAUUGGGCGUAAAGCGCGCGUAGGCGGUUUUUUAAGUCUGAUGUGAAAGCCCACGGCUCAACCGUGGAGGGUCAUUGGAAACUGGAAAACUUGAGUGCAGAAGAGGAAAGUGGAAUUCCAGGUGUAGCGGUGAAAUGCGCAGAGAUAUGGAGGAACACCAGUGGCGAAGGCGACUUUCUGGUCUGUAACUGACGCUGAUGUGCGAAAGCGUGGGGAUCAAACAGG
rnacentral:rRNA from 1 species